rnacentral:rRNA from 1 species
AUUGAACGCUGGCGGCAGGCUUAACACAUGCAAGUCGAGCGGUAGCACAAGAGAGCUUGCUCUCUGGGUGACGAGCGGCGGACGGGUGAGUAAUGUCUGGGAAACUGCCUGAUGGAGGGGGAUAACUACUGGAAACGGUAGCUAAUACGGCAUAACGUCGCAAGACCAAAGAGGGGGACCUUCGGGCCUCUUGCCAUCAGAUGUGCCCAGAUGGGAUUAGCUAGUAGGUGGGGUAAUGGCUCACCUAGGCGACGAUCCCUAGCUGGUCUGAGAGGAUGACCAGCCACACUGGAACUGAGACACGGUCCAGACUCCUACGGGAGGCAGCAGUGGGGAAUAUUGCACAAUGGGCGCAAGCCUGAUGCAGCCAUGCCGCGUGUGUGAAGAAGGCCUUCGGGUUGUAAAGCACUUUCAGCGAGGAGGAAGGUGGUGAACUUAAUACGUUCAUCAAUUGACGUUACUCGCAGAAGAAGCACCGGCUAACUCCGUG